CCCCACUAGUAGCAAUUCUCUAUACAUGCACACUAUCCACGUCAUCACGAUGCCAUGUCAGCGCUCAGUUUCCAAAAAACCUAUCCACCUAUGCAAUUCACUUCUUCAACACCAAAUAUGCGUAAUGAACAAAUUGUGUAAUUCAAUUUUUCUUUUGUACUUAUCCAUGCCUGGUCCCUGAACCGAGCGAUUCUUUUCCACUUCUCUUUUAACCAAAGAGACGAGCCAGCUGUCGAGCAGUUUCCUUCUUCCACGGGCCUGUUUUAAUCUUCCACGGGCCUGUUUUAAAAACGCACCACCGGCCGCAACUCCUCUCCCGAUCCUUUCUCAACUGAUCCCCCGUCCGAUCUCUCGCUUCCUCUUCUCAACCGCGGUUUCCUCACGGUGCACCGCGCCUCUGCCCUCACCUCCUUCUGCUGCCCCCAUGCUCCUUGCAGCUGGGUUACUACUGGUUACCCACGACCUACCGACGAACAGUGCCGUCGACCUACCAUUGCGGACAAGCUGCAGAUCCUUGGAGAGUGGCCAUGGUCUUUGUCUAGAGAAGUCGUCAGUGGUGCCAUCUUCUCUCAUUGCUCGUGUGGAAGGUGGGAGGAGCCAGAUUUGGGCCUUUUUUUGCCCUCAUGAGUUCAAAAAUUAAGCAGGUGAACCCUUCCAUCCUAUUUCCAUUAGUGAGUUUAGUGAUUUGUGUCUUUACUGAUUCGUUUGGUGAUAAUCUACAAACAGCAGAUAGGCCGGCUCCUUCCCCCUCUUUGUUAUUAAUUUUUAGGUGAUGUAACUAUUGAUGUUUGGAGAAUAAAAAUGGUAUUUUGCCAGCAUUGUACACCCUCUUUUGGUGUCAUAAACUUUAUGCAGGCACUAAUUUUUUCUGAUUCGAGUAUGUCCAAUCGAAUUUAUGCAUGAACAGAGUCUUAAGCUAACAGGAAGCAAUUUGUCCCCUUUGAAUUUUCGCUCUAUGUGCCACCUGUAUCUGUAAGUAGCCUCUCUCAAUUAUUUUUUUGUUAAAUAUCUUGAUGUAUAGGCAAAGCAUCAUAAAUUGUCUUGCUGCUUUCCGAACAACAUACUGGAGUCAUUGUCUUCUUUCGUGCUUCUAGUGGACUGAUUAUAAUCAUCACGUCUAGCUGGUAAACAAAACAACUUGACUGAUCAUAAGCAUCGCGUCUAGCUGGUAAACAAAACAACUCAAGCAAUUUUGAAGUUAUGUGUUACUUGGUGCAGUCUAGCUCUGAAAAUUUUCCUAAUUUUUAUUUUCUUACUAAAGAUUACUUCCCACACACGCGGCAAUCUGAAAGUAUAUGCAAAUUUUAUGUUUCUAAGUUGAGUCAUAUGUACAUGUUUUACUGCAAAAUCAUGAUGGAUCACUUCCUUUUUCGUUGAAAUUCCAAAACAGUUCGUCCAUACUUCCGUCUGUGCAAGUGUUCCAUGUAGGUUUUAAUUAGGUAAAGAGCAUAUACUAUUUUGUAGAUUAUUUCAUUUGGUCAAUGACAGAUCCCUAAAACUGAAUGGUGUUCAGGAAUUAUGAACUUUUUUGCAGGGAAAGAAAUUAUUAACACUAUAGUCUCCUAAGACAAGGAUUUAAUUUUAUUGAACAUUCAUGUGCUACUUUUGUCCAUUUUAUUUGCUUAGCCACAAUGAAGAGUUCCCGGUGCCACAAACUCCUCAAAAUAUCAUGAAGAUAUACACGAGUGUGUAAAGACUGUCCAGUUUCCUUUUGGCAAUUUUUAUGUGUUAAUAUUUGGCAUUACUUCAAUAUGUAUGCAUGCCGCUACAGACACUCCUCAUUGUUGCCUACUUUGAGGAAAAUGAAGCAAGGUAAACUAUUUUUUACUACCACACCUAUAUACAUGGUAUCCAAUUAUAUUUUCUUAUAUAUCUGUUUCUCUAACUGAUUUAGCUUGGCACCACCUUUGGAUGCCAUUUUUGUAAAGGUAAUGCACCGAUCGGUGGAUUCGUUUCUUUCUUUUUUCUAUAGAAUUAUUAUAUCCAACCAAUAAUAUUAGUUGCAAUUAAGGAACCUGAAGAUUCAUGAUACAACUAAACACUAUAGACAUAUUUAGAAGGUGAAGCUUUAUGAUUCUAUCAGACUAAUGACAUUUGUUUACCUCCGGCUAAUGACAUUUGUUUACCUCCUGUUGCGGGAUGGAUCAAAGUAAAUGUACAUGGGAGUUCUCAUGGUGAUACACAUAGUCAAGACUUGGUUAUAGCUUUGUGGUGACGUUUCAGUUGUAGCUUAGAAGUUUUCUUCCCUUGCAGGAGAAGCGGAGGUUGGAGGUGGUAGUCUAUAUAUUGGAGCUUUAAAUCAGUUGGUUCCACAUGUAAAUGACCAUAUAAUCCUCUAUUCUGAUUGUGUUUGUUCUCCAAACUUUGAAUAAUAAAAGUAGGAUGAUCGAUCUUA